rnacentral:lncRNA from 1 species
AAAAAGUUUGCAAUUUAAACACCCACAGCCCAACAUUUGCCUAGCCCAAAAACCAAUACCCAAAACCCAUACAACAUAACCCAAACAAACUAAACCCAAUCAGCCCCAACAAACUAAACCCAAUUAGCCCAUUUACAAAUACAACCCAACAAAUUCAUCAAACCCCAUACCAGCAGACCCAAAAUUAAACAGACAGAGCCCAAUAACCCAAUAGGCCCAACUUCUUUAAAAAUUAUCUGCCUAGGGUUUCAGAAACUGAAACCCUAGGCGCCGCAUUUGAUGACUUUUGGCCUUCUGCCAGCGCCGCCGUUGCCUCGCCAGACGUCCCAUCGUCCACUUGUGCCGCGCACGUCCUAUCGCCACCUGUAAACACGCAAAGAGAGAAAUGAACAAGACAGAAGCAGUAACAAGAAGGCUUUAAAAAGCCGAAACAAAUGUAAAAAAAGAGGGGGCUCGUUUUUUUUGUAUUUUUCUAUGAGAUUUUGGGGGUUCUCUUCUUCCGUUUUUGUAACAAAAAAAUAGAUAUCAAUAAAAAAUUUUUAAGUUUCAAGGUGAUUUUCGUUUUGCAUUUCUUUUCUUUUUUCUUUUUAAUCUUUUUGUUGUUAUUUAUUUUCUAUGAAAACCGUUUACAUUUAAAAAAUAUAUAUAAAGAGGAAAGUAUAAAAUUUUUUUUACCUUUUUUCUGAUUUUU